rnacentral:rRNA from 1 species
UAGCAUAUCAAUAAGCGGAGGAAAAGAAACCAACAGGGAUUACCUCAGUAACGGCGAGUGAAGCGGUAACAGCUCAAAUUUGAAAUCUGGCUCUCUUAGGGUCCGAGUUGUAAUUUGUAGAAGAUGCUUCGGGUGCGGCUCCGGUCUAAGUUCCUUGGAACAGGAUGUCAUAGAGGGUGAGAACCCCGUAUGCGACCGGUGGCUUGCGCCCAUGUGAAGCUCUUUCGACGAGUCGAGUUGUUUGGGAAUGCAGCUCUAAAUGGGUGGUAUAUUUCAUCUAAAGCUAAAUAUUGGCCAGAGACCGAUAGCGCACAAGUAGAGUGAUCGAAAGAUGAAAAGCACUUUGGAAAGAGAGUUAAACAGUACGUGAAAUUGUUGAAAGGGAAGCGCUUGCAACCAGACUUGGGCGCCAUCGAUCAUCUCAGGUUCUCCUGGGUGCACUCGGUGGUGUUCAGGCCAGCAUCGGUUCUGGUGGUUGGAUAAAGGCCUUGGGAAUGUGGCUCCUCUCGGGGAGUGUUAUAGCCCUCGGUGCAAUGCAGCCUACUAGGACCGAGGACCGCGCUUCGGCUAGGAUGCUGGCGUAAUGGUUGUAAGCGACCCGUCUUGAAACACGGACCAAGGAGUCUAACAUCUAUGCGAGUGUUUGGGUGCUAAACCCAUACGCGUAAUUAACGUGAACGGAGGUGAGAACCCGUCAGGGUGCAUCAUCGACCGAUCCUGAUGUCUUCGGAUGGAUUUGAGUAAGAGCAUAGCUGUUGGGACCCGAAAGAUGGUGAACUAUGCCUAAAUAGGGUGAAGCCAGAGGAAACUCUGGUGGAGGCUCGCAGCGGUUCUGACGUGCAAAUCGAUCGUCAAAUUUGGGUAUAGGGGCGAAAGACUAAUCGAACCAU